rnacentral:rRNA from 1 species
GACGAACGCUGGCGGCGUGCCUAAUACAUGCAAGUAGAACGCUGAAGGAGGAGCUUGCUUCUCCGGAUGAGUUGCGAACGGGUGAGUAACGCGUAGGUAACCUGCCUGGUAGCGGGGGAUAACUAUUGGAAACGAUAGCUAAUACCGCAUAACAGUAGAUGUUGCAUGACAUUUGCUUAAAAGGUGCAAUUGCAUCACUACCAGAUGGACCUGCGUUGUAUUAGCUAGUUGGUGAGGUAACGGCUCACCAAGGCGACGAUACAUAGCCGACCUGAGAGGGUGAUCGGCCACACUGGGACUGAGACACGGCCCAGACUCCUACGGGAGGCAGCAGUAGGGAAUCUUCGGCAAUGGACGGAAGUCUGACCGAGCAACGCCGCGUGAGUGAAGAAGGUUGUCGGAUCGUAAAGCUCUGUUGUAAGAGAAGAACGAGUGUGAGAGUGGAAAGUUCACACUGUGACGGUAUCUUACCAGAAAGGGACGGCUAACUACGUG